GUUCUGAGACGGGCUAAAGGGCCACCUUGUGGGUCAGGUGACAUCAGGUGCCCUAGCUACCGACCCUGGUCACAUGCACUUUCUUUCCCAGGGAUGGAGAUCUACCAGCAAAAUCUUGCUAGUGUAUGCAAUGGUGUCGGCGUUUGGGAGCUGAUUAUGGGAUGGAUCUCUGCAUAUGGCAAUCACUAGAUGGUCCAUCCUUUCGUCACAGCUCCAAAUUUUGUCUCUGUAACUCCUUCCAUGGGUGUUUUGUUCCCAUUUCUAAGAAAGGGUGAAGUUUCCACACUUUGGUCUUCGUUCUUCUUGAAUUUCAUGCAUUUGGAGGAACUGCCAUCCAAACUUCAGACGCUGCUGCUAGGUGGAAAAUGUUUCCAGGAUGAGUCAGCUUUAUACUGCUUAUGUCUCCACACCCAAAAUUCAAACUUGGCCUCGGAAGGCGGGCCAUGACCUGGUCUUUGUCUCCUUUCUCUGACUACAGAUUACCUUUUUUAACCACAUGGAUUUAACCACACUAAUUGUGUUCCAAGAGCACAGUUAGCCUCUUACUGCCUAUUCUCCUGAAAAACAAGCAGACAGACAAACAACAAAAAUGACCAAACUCCUGACAGGCAUUUUUCUCUUAUCCAAUGUCUUUCUCUUUUAAGAUUAGAGGGAGAACCUGUUUGCGCCUCAAGCCAGUUUCAGGCAUUGCCAGCUACUCUGUUCUAGUACUUGGUGCUGGGCUCUCAGAUAUCAAGACUAGCUUCUCAGAGAAUUAAAGUCCAUUUAGAUGAAGGACUGCAUCAAUUGGUAGAUUUUAAACUGGAUGAUGGCAGUGUUCAUUAAGUAGUACUGGUUUUAGAAGUCAGAAAGAGAACAAGAGCCAAACACUCAACUGGACUAGUUGACUUGAUAAAACAAAGAGUGUGUCAAAGAAGAAGCCACCCACUCAUGUAGGGAAGUGGUGCUGACAUGAUCAAAGGAGGGAGACAAAACCUUUCUUAAUUUUAAGCAUGUUGGAAAGGAGGCCACACUGCUGAGAAGACUGAAAUCAGCAAGCCCAGGAGAUAGUUUGGACUGUGCUUGGGUGAGAUAGACAGAAGUGAAGAACACUGAUCUGGAAUUCAUCAGCUUUAGAAAUAGGAGUUCUCCUUGGGGCAGUAAGGGAGAUGGUCAGAAGAAGAGGGCAGGCUACGGGAGAUGGCCAUGUGUGGUGGUUUGAACGUGAAUGUCCCUCACAGGCACAUUGGGUGAACACUUGGUCUCCAGUUGGUGGCGCUGUUUAUGGAACCUUCGGGAGCUGGAUCCCUGCUGGAAGAAGUCCAUCAGUUGAGGCAUUUGUAACCUUCUCUUCACUUUCUGUUCCCCCUCUCUGCUUCCCAUGUGCAGAUGAGAUAUGCUCAGCCAGCUUACCGCUCCUGUUGCCAUGCCAUUAUGAAUGUCCCCUCUGGAACCACAAGCCAAAAUAAAGCCUUCUACACUCU
rnacentral:lncRNA from 1 species